AAGUAUUCAUAUCGGAAACUCAUGAGCUUUUCCUAAAUCUGAUUAGAAUCAGCGACGAAAUAUUGAAACUUCAUCACAUUGGAAAAGGGCCAACAAGAAUAUAAUUAGAUCAUGAAUUGAUCAUCCUUCUGAUAAACAGUGAAAUCUUAAUUAGAUUCUAUGAAACGAGUUCCUAUUAAUAUCUUUCAUAUCAUUUUUUUCCUCCUGUUUAAAAAAAAAAUGACAAUUGCAUAAAAUAAAUUUUUAUUUUGAGCAAUUUUAAAAGAAUUACUUUUAUAACUAAAUUCGUAUUUUAAAUUAUUCAACAUUACUCUUAAGCACUGUGGUGUGUGUGUGUGCGUGCGUGUGUGUGUGCGUGUGUGCGUGUGUGUGUGUGUACGUUUAUUUUUAUAUUUCUUGGUGUUUAAUGACAUUCAUGACAAAAAGCAAAUUUUUAUGAGUUUAUAAGUUUACAAAAUGUUACUACUAAUAGGUUAUUAAGUUAUUGAUAACUUAAAAAAGAACAAAUGAUAAUAAUGACUUAACCAAGAAUAAAGAACAAGGUAAGUAAGGCAGAAGCAGUUUAUGAUAACAUACAAAAUAAACAAAAAAAAUUUAAAUAUCAAUUAUGAUGUGAUACAAGAUUUGGAAGUUAUACAUAUAUGAAGAUACAAGUGAUUUAAUGUAAUCAUUUGUAGCAAUAGAAUGGAAGGAAAAACAUAUUUUAUAAUAGCUAAGAAAACAACAAAGAUAUUAACAGAAACAUUAAUAUACAUAUAAGAAGAAUAUAGAAAUAAAUAUAUAAAGAUGAUUAUAUAGCUCAAAAGAAGCCAGAUUUAAAGUUAGGAAGAAAAUCAACAUACGAUAUGAUAUUUAAAGAUGACUAUUUCAAUACUUGUGGUAAACAUAUUAGCACAAAGUAAUAAACUUGGUAUAAAAGAACAAGAAAUAAUAUGUAGUAAGAAUUUAUACCAACAGAUACAUCAAAACAUUUUUUACAGUUUAGAUUUAUGUAACAAAAUUUGAGUGUAUCUAAUAAUUAUAAUAAAAUAAUAUUUGUAUACAUUGAUUGUAAGAAUAACGAAGACUAUGUUAGAAUAAUAACUCACUAAAAGCU